UGCAUAUCAAUAAGCGGAGGAAAAGAAACUAACAAGGAUUCCCCUAGUAACGGCGAGUGAAGCGGGAAGAGCUCAAAUUUGUAAUCUGGCACUUUCAGUGUCCGAGUUGUAAUCUCGAGAAGUAUUUUCCGCGCCGGACCGCAUACAAGUCUGUUGGAAUACAGCGUCAUAGUGGUGAGAACCCCGUAACUGAUGCGGAUGCCCGGUGCUUUGUGAUAUACUUUCGAAGAGUCGAGUUGUUUGGGAAUGCAGCUCAAAUUGGGUGGUAAAUUCCAUCUAAAGCUAAAUAUUGGAGCAAGACCGAUAGCGAACAAGUACCGUGAGGGAAAGAUGAAAAGCACUUUGGAAAGAGAGUUAACAGUACGUGAAAUUGUUGGAAGGGAAACGCUUGAAGUCAGACUUGCUAUUCGGAGUUCAGCCGCAAGGUGUAUUCUUCGAUUUGCAGGCCAGCAUCAGUUUUUGGGGGUGGAAAAUCGUGGUUUGAAGGUAGCAGUUUCGGCUGUGUUAUAGCUUUCCACUGGAUUCAUCUUCGGGGACUGAGGAACGCAGUACGCUUUUUGCAAGGCUUUCGAGCUUUUCGUACUUAGGAUGCUGGUGGAAUGGCUUUAAACGACCCGUCUUGAAACACGGAC
rnacentral:rRNA from 1 species